UCUCUCUCUACGUUUAUAUAUACAGCAGAUCCAACUGCAACUGGAUCUUGACCUACAUGGCUGCUUUUUUUAUAAUCUUUUCUUCAGCCACACCAUGAUGGUGUGGUGUCUCUCUUCCUCUUCUUUUUUCUUUCUUUCUUCCCUGUCUUUUUUUUUCGUUGUUGUUGGAUCAGUUUAUUAAAUGGAACCCAAGGUUGUGUCCCAACCCAACCCUUACUCAAAAAGCUAUCAUUAGUGCCACCAAAUUACACAUCCAUUAUUCAGAAACACAAAAUACAAAUCCAUCCAUCCACUCUUGUUCUAAUCCAAGACCACAUAUAAUUAGAUAGUGUUAUUUGUAUUAUAUACACACGCAUAUACAAUAUGAACAUGUAACCAUGUAUACACCAAAUCACCACCAAAAAAUAGAAACACACAAAACCCAUGAUUAAUCUCCACCAAUUAAAGGUUGUUCAGCUUUAAUUUAAUCUGUUUGUGUAUUUUAAUUGCUUGCUUCCCCUUCCCUAGAUUAUAUAUUUUCCCUCUUUUUAUAGUUUACUAGUACUGCUUUGCUACUCUUCAAAUCCUUUUUAAAUCUCUCUCUCUCUCUUUGUGCGUGCGUGUGUGUAUAUAUUGAAUCUGCAGCCUGUAGGAACCGUAUAUUCUGUUAGGGUUCCCUAAGUUGUUCACUUAUAUUCUGUUAUAUAUAUCUGUCGUAUAUAUAGCAAGGCACCAUGGUUGAGGGUUCAUGGUAAUCUUGUUCUUUUCACUGAAUCAAUUCGAUCAUAGCUCAAGCUAAGAAAGGAAAUUGCAGCAGCUACUAGGAUUUGUAUAUAGUCGUUGUUUGCAGGUGCAGCAGCAUCAAGAUUCACACACAGAUUCCACCUCCUUGGGGGAGUGUUUAGGUGCUGAGAAUCUUGAUGAUGCUGCAUCAGCAAUAGACGAUUCACGGGCUUCUUUCCAAUAUAGAGAGAUCUUCAUCCACAGAAAAAAAAUGGUCUGUAGUUCUUGAUAGACUUUCAUGUCUGCAAGUACCAAAUUCCAGCUGGAUGAUACAUUACACUUUGAACAGCCACAUAUACAGAGUUUGCAGGGAAUAUAUAAACUAUUUAAUGCUUUUACGUGCAGUACGUGCUGGUGAGUAGACUUCACUUUAAUCUUUGUUCAAUUGAAAGUCCAAGUACGUGUUACUUAUAUCCAUUAUAAGGAUAUAUAAUUAUGGCUGUGCCUGAAAUCUAUUGAGAUCUGUGGUUGUAGGGAUUGGUUCUCCA